UAGCAAUCCAAGGCUGGCCUGGGAGCUGUUCUGCGGCCAUCAUCUCCUACAGCACCUCCAGCUGGGACGGAGGAACUGUGACCUCAGAGAUUACAGGCAUCUAGUCUGGCCUCCUGUGUGACACGGGCCAGAGAAUUUCACCCAGCGAUUCCUCGAUCAAGCUCAAUGACUCCUGGUUGAUCAUGGCAGUAAGAAUUUUUGCCCCGUUGUCUACAGACCCUCCUGCUGGUGGAAGAAGUCAGUGUUUCCUGCUGGGAGAGACUGGGACUGGAGUAGCUGUGAGCUCCUCUCGGUUAAUCCUAUAGUCUCCAAAAAGCCAAGGAAAGUGGGACGACGGAGAGGAAUUCUGCUUCAAGCCAGCAGAAGGGGCAGAGGAAUCUGGCUGAAAGGAAGAAAGAGCAAAGGAGGACAGGGCAGGUGGAGGAGAAGAGAGGCGAGCUGAGGACAGGGGAAGGGCUAAAGGAAACUCCCCAAACAGAGGCCCACAGCAUCCGGAUCUCAGUCUGGGGAGGCUGCCAACAGGACAAAGCGGAGAAGUUCAGAUCCAGGAUCUCAGUGUUGCCAAAGCUCCAGGGUGCUGAGAACUGAGUUGGGGUUAAAGAUAUUCAGCGAGCUAGCUACAAACUUCUCCAGCCCUUAGGGCUGCUCAGAUCUGGGGUUUGGCCCAUGCAGUGUCACCCACUUCUGUGCUUUUAUCACACCUCUCAUGGUACUUGGUGCAUUCCUUAAAGCGCCAGCUCCUGGAGUCAUUUGAUUAUGUGAUUAUUUCAACUCUCAUUUAAAAGACAAAGAACAUUUCUGGUCCUCCUGGUUACAUGGAAAAGCUAGCAAAUGCGAUGCCCUCAAGGCUCGAA